UACGUAGGUGGCAAGCGUUACUCGGAAUUACUAGCGUAAAGCGCAGGUAGGUGGUGUGAUAAGUCCGUAAUGAAAUCUCCCGGCUUAACUGGGAGGGGUUUAAGGGAUACUGUCAUGCUUGAGUGUGGGAGAGGUAACUGGAAUUCCUGGAUGUAGCGGUGAAAUGGCGUAGAGAUCAGGAGGAACACCUAUGGCGAAAGCAGGUUACUGGCCCAAUACUGACACUGAGCUGCGAAAGCCUAGGGGAGCAAACAGG
rnacentral:rRNA from 1 species